rnacentral:rRNA from 1 species
CACGUAGGGGGCGAGCGUUGUCCGGAUUUAUUGGGCGUAAAGAGCUCGUAGGCGGCUUGUCGCGUCGGAUGUGAAAGCCCGGGGCUUAACUCCGGGUCUGCAUUCGAUACGGGCAGGCUAGAGUGUGGUAGGGGAGAUCGGAAUUCAUGGUGUAGCGGUGAAAUGCGCAGAUAUCAGGAGGAACACCGGUGGCGAAGGCGGAUCUCUGGGCCAUUACUGACGCUGAGGAGCGAAAGCGUGGGGAGCGAACAGG